CAGGAAUCCUAUUCUUUUUGAGCACCAUGGUUAGGAGGAUAAACUAUAAACACAGUACUGUGUUUAUCGUUUAUCCUCCUAACCAUGGUGCUAAAAAAGAAUAGGAUUCCUGGUAUAAUAAAGGUAGGUGUGUUGGCCUGAUAAACACAGUAUUUUCAUACUGUGUUU